GGUCAAGUGAAGAAGCGCAUACGGUGGAUGCCUUGGCAGUCAGAGGCGAUGAAAGACGUGGUAGCCUGCGAAAAGCUUCGGGGAGUCGGCAAACAGACUUUGAUCCGGAGAUCUCUGAAUGGGGGAACCCACCUAGGAUAACCUAGGUAUCUUGUACUGAAUCCAUAGGUGCAAGAGGCGAACCAGGGGAACUGAAACAUCUAAGUACCCUGAGGAAAAGAAAUCAACCGAGAUUCCCUUAGUAGUGGCGAGCGAACGGGGAUUAGCCCUUAAGCUUCAUUGAUUUUAGCGGAACGCUCUGGAAAGUGCGGCCAUAGUGGGUGAUAGCCCCGUACGCGAAAGGAUCUUUGAAGUGAAAUCGAGUAGGACGGAGCACGAGAAACUUUGUCUGAACAUGGGGGGACCAUCCUCCAAGGCUAAAUACUACUGACUGACCGAUAGUGAACCAGUACCGUGAGGGAAAGGCGAAAAGAACCCCGGAGAGGGGAGUGAAAUAGAACCUGAAACCGUAUGCGUACAAGCAGUGGGAGCCUACUUGUUAGGUGACUGCGUACCUUUUGUAUAAUGGGUCAGCGACUUAUAUUCAGUGGCAAGCUUAACCGUAUAGGGUAGGCGUAGCGAAAGCGAGUCUUAAUAGGGCGUUUAGUCGCUGGGUAUAGACCCGAAACCGGGCGAUCUAUCCAUGAGCAGGUUGAAGGUUAGGUAACACUGACUGGAGGACCGAACCCACUCCCGUUGAAAAGGUAGGGGAUGACUUGUGGAUCGGAGUGAAAGGCUAAUCAAGCUCGGAGAUAGCUGGUUCUCCUCGAAAGCUAUUUAGGUAGCGCCUCAUGUAUCACUCUGGGGGGUAGAGCACUGUUUCGGCUAGGGGGUCAUCCCGACUUACCAAACCGAUGCAAACUCCGAAUACCCAGAAGUGCCGAGCAUGGGAGACACACGGCGGGUGCUAACGUCCGUCGUGAAAAGGGAAACAACCCAGACCGCCAGCUAAGGUCCCAAAGUUGUGGUUAAGUGGUAAACGAUGUGGGAAGGCUUAGACAGCUAGGAGGUUGGCUUAGAAGCAGCCACCCUUUAAAGAAAGCGUAAUAGCUCACUAGUCGAGUCGGCCUGCGCGGAAGAUGUAACGGGGCUCAAACCACACACCGAAGCUGCGGGUGUCACGUAAGUGACGCGGUAGAGGAGCGUUCUGUAAGCCUGUGAAGGUGAGUUGAGAAGCUUGCUGGAGGUAUCAGAAGUGCGAAUGCUGACAUGAGUAACGACAAUGGGUGUGAAAAACACCCACGCCGAAAGACCAAGGGUUCCUGCGCAACGUUAAUCGACGCAGGGUUAGUCGGUUCCUAAGGCGAGGCUGAAAAGCGUAGUCGAUGGGAAACAGGUUAAUAUUCCUGUACUUCUGGUUACUGCGAUGGAGGGACGGAGAAGGCUAGGCCAGCUUGGCGUUGGUUGUCCAAGUUUAAGGUGGUAGGCUGAAAUCUUAGGUAAAUCCGGGGUUUCAAGGCCGAGAGCUGAUGACGAGUCGUCUUUUAGAUGACGAAGUGGUUGAUGCCAUGCUUCCAAGAAAAGCUUCUAAGCUUCAGGUAACCAGGAACCGUACCCCAAACCGACACAGGUGGUCGGGUAGAGAAUACCAAGGCGCUUGAGAGAACUCGGGUGAAGGAACUAGGCAAAAUGGCACCGUAACUUCGGGAGAAGGUGCGCCGGCUAGGGUGAAGGAUUUACUCCGUAAGCUCUGGCUGGUCGAAGAUACCAGGCCGCUGCGACUGUUUAUUAAAAACACAGCACUCUGCAAACACGAAAGUGGACGUAUAGGGUGUGACGCCUGCCCGGUGCCGGAAGGUUAAUUGAUGGGGUUAGCGCAAGCGAAGCUCUUGAUCGAAGCCCCGGUAAACGGCGGCCGUAACUAUAACGGUCCUAAGGUAGCGAAAUUCCUUGUCGGGUAAGUUCCGACCUGCACGAAUGGCGUAACGAUGGCGGCGCUGUCUCCACCCGAGACUCAGUGAAAUUGAAAUCGCUGUGAAGAUGCAGUGUAUCCGCGGCUAGACGGAAAGACCCCGUGAACCUUUACUGUAGCUUUGCACUGGACUUUGAGCCUGCUUGUGUAGGAUAGGUGGGAGGCUUUGAAGCGUGGACGCCAGUUCGCGUGGAGCCAUCCUUGAAAUACCACCCUGGCAUGCUUGAGGUUCUAACUCUGGUCCGUAAUCCGGAUCGAGGACAGUGUAUGGUGGGCAGUUUGACUGGGGCGGUCUCCUCCUAAAGAGUAACGGAGGAGUACGAAGGUGCGCUCAGACCGGUCGGAAAUCGGUCGCAGAGUAUAAAGGCAAAAGCGCGCUUGACUGCGAGACAGACACGUCGAGCAGGUACGAAAGUAGGUCUUAGUGAUCCGGUGGUUCUGUAUGGAAGGGCCAUCGCUCAACGGAUAAAAGGUACUCCGGGGAUAACAGGCUGAUACCGCCCAAGAGUUCAUAUCGACGGCGGUGUUUGGCACCUCGAUGUCGGCUCAUCACAUCCUGGGGCUGAAGCCGGUCCCAAGGGUAUGGCUGUUCGCCAUUUAAAGUGGUACGCGAGCUGGGUUUAGAACGUCGUGAGACAGUUCGGUCCCUAUCUGCCGUGGACGUUUGAGAUUUGAGAGGGGCUGCUCCUAGUACGAGAGGACCGGAGUGGACGAACCUCUGGUGUUCCGGUUGUCACGCCAGUGGCAUUGCCGGGUAGCUAUGUUCGGAAAAGAUAACCGCUGAAAGCAUCUAAGCGGGAAACUUGCCUCAAGAUGAGAUCUCACUGGGAACUUGAUUCCCCUGAAGGGCCGUCGAAGACUACGACGUUGAUAGGCUGGGUGUGUAAGCGUUGUGAGGCGUUGAGCUAACCAGUACUAAUUGCCCGUGAGGCUUGACCA
rnacentral:rRNA from 1 species